CUACAGUGGAGGACCCAGGGAGAGUUGGAGACCAGAUCAACCCCCCCACAGACACCAUGACAGACUGUGUGACUGUAAGGGGAGGAGGAGAGAGGGUUUGAGUGGAGGCUGCCUCUGCCAGGAGUCUGCCAAAUCCUACCGCAAGCCCAGGAAGGCCUUUGUGGCAAUGUGCCGAAGGAAAGGAUUCCAGAAUCAGUGGAAAUGCCAGAAGAUCAUGGAAAGGGUAGAAAGGUCAAAGGGUGACUUAGGCAAAAACUUCAUGAGUAUUCCAGUUUAAAGAGUUGACAUUUAAUAAC